rnacentral:rRNA from 1 species
GGGUUGUGAGGUUAAGCGACUAAGCGUACACGGUGGAUGCCCUGGCAGUCAGAGGCGAUGAAGGACGUGCUAAUCUGCGAUAAGCGUCGGUAAGGUGAUAUGAACCGUUAUAACCGGCGAUUUCCGAAUGGGGAAACCCAGUGUGAUUCGUCACACUAUCAUUAACUGAAUCCAUAGGUUAAUGAGGCGAACCGGGGGAACUGAAACAUCUAAGUACCCCGAGGAAAAGAAAUCAACCGAGAUUCCCCCAGUAGCGGCGAGCGAACGGGGAGCAGCCCAGAGCCUGAAUCAGUGUGUGUGUUAGUGGAAGCGUCUGGAAAGGCGCGCGAUACAGGGUGACAGCCCCGUACACAAAAAUGCACAUGCUGUGAGCUCGAUGAGUAGGGCGGGACACGUGGUAUCCUGUCUGAAUAUGGGGGGACCAUCCUCCAAGGCUAAAUACUCCUGACUGACCGAUAGUGAACCAGUACCGUGAGGGAAAGGCGAAAAGAACCCCGGCGAGGGGAGUGAAAAAGAACCUGAAACCGUGUACGUACAAGCAGUGGGAGCACGCUUAGGCGUGUGACUGCGUACCUUUUGUAUAAUGGGUCAGCGACUUAUAUUCUGUAGCAAGGUUAACCGAAUAGGGGAGCCGAAGGGAAACCGAGUCUUAACUGGGCGUUAAGUUGCAGGGUAUAGACCCGAAACCCGGUGAUCUAGCCAUGGGCAGGUUGAAGGUUGGGUAACACUAACUGGAGGACCGAACCGACUAAUGUUGAAAAAUUAGCGGAUGACUUGUGGCUGGGGGUGAAAGGCCAAUCAAACCGGGAGAUAGCUGGUUCUCCCCGAAAGCUAUUUAGGUAGCGCCUCGUGAAUUCAUCUCCGGGGGUAGAGCACUGUUUCGGCAAGGGGGUCAUCCCGACUUACCAACCCGAUGCAAACUGCGAAUACCGGAGAAUGUUAUCACGGGAGACACACGGCGGGUGCUAACGUCCGUCGUGAAGAGGGAAACAACCCAGACCGCCAGCUAAGGUCCCAAAGUCAUGGUUAAGUGGGAAACGAUGUGGGAAGGCCCAGACAGCCAGGAUGUUGGCUUAGAAGCAGCCAUCAUUUAAAGAAAGCGUAAUAGCUCACUGGUCGAGUCGGCCUGCGCGGAAGAUGUAACGGGGCUAAACCAUGCACCGAAGCUGCGGCAGCGAC